CCCAAUUGGUGCAGGUACCUGGAACUAAAUCAAAACAAAGGUUGGGGGCUCUAUGCAAACAGUCCUCACAGGAUAGGAAGCUCCAGGAAGGGUGAGUGAUGGAGAGGGGUGGGCACCUCUGGGCAGCAGCCCCCUGCCCAGGGCACCUCAGUCACAGGGUGGGAGCACUGUGCAGAGAAGGGGUCCCUGAGGGUAGGAAAGAUUCACCUGCAGCUUCCACACCUUCAGGGCAGAUGCGACAGCUCACUACAGCCAAACAAAACUGAGGUCACAACUCUUGCAGAGCACUGUUGAUAUUCACAAUAGCCAAAAAG
rnacentral:lncRNA from 1 species